UAGUUUUUCAUGCAGCAAUGGAUAAGCAAAAAAAAAAAAAGAGUAUUUAAAAUAGGAAAACCUAUGAUUUGCUCAGUGACAUUAGCUGAUUUAAGGUGAUUCCACCAGGAUUUUAGUCAUUUUAACACUAAAAUGGAUCUCUACAGAAAUCCUGGUCCAAUAACCACAGAUGAAGCACCAAAGCUUCCAAGAGAAAAGCCAAGGUCUUCCUUCUUCAAAGGUGGCAGAGAAUAAAGCAAAUGCCCAUUUAUGUUCACAGCUCCCCUCUCUGCUUCUUCACAAUUGGAGGUCAGGUGUGUCACCCCAACCCAGAGAGGAGAGCCAUCUCCUGAUCUUCAUUAGAGCAUGGUAGGAUGACCAGUGUCAGGUGGUUGGAAGAUUCUGGAAGAGGCCUUUCUACAGAAGACAGACAUCAUCUGUCUUCCUCCUCUGCCCCCACCUCUAUUAUGGAUGCACUUAAGGCCACUAUGUCCAAAGGGAAGUGAUGACAGCUCUCAAGUUUUCCCUCUUCCACCCCAACCACACUGCCCCCGGGCCAACCAGAGGUCAGAGUGACCAGGACCACAGGACCAGCUUCUUUGGCAGACCACACUGGGGACACCUUCCAAUAGCAGAUGUCCAGUGUCAGUUUUUCCCCCAUCACAGGAAGCAGAAGGAAGAAACAGGUUCCCCCCUGCUCCAGGGACAAGCACAGGCCUGCUAACUAUUUUUAUUGCAGGCAAAGGGUUAAAACCACAGCCUCCAAAAAUACUCCUGCAGAGUCUUCAGCUGGUAGAAGGAAGCUGGCAAGCCAGAGACCCACCUAGAGGUCCAGACACUGGGCAGGCUGGGUGAGAAGAACCCCAAAAAACCUGCAGUGGGGUGUUUGCAGGAGAUGGAGCCUAGGACUAGGAGUUCAAUGCUUUGAUACACAAAUAUGUCUUCCAGUAUCUUCCUGGUAAUGCUUGAAACCAAAUUUACCCCACCUUGCCCCAAGGUGUCUAAGGGGGACAAUUCAGAGCCUACUCCCAUAAUUCUUCGGGCAUAAAAUUUCUAAGUGGUCUCUGCUACACUUAAAGGAUCCAAAUGCAAUCUGAAAGGCACUCCUAUGUUUGGGUCCCACAGCAGGGGGAGCGUUAGGGGACCCCUCGGAUAUUCACUUCCUGCCCCCAGCUUUGUCUUGGUGCCUCCAAGUGAUCUCUGACAUUCAUAUAUUGAUAUAAAAGCAUCUUUGAUGUUAUAUAAAUAUCAAUCACCAGUGCCUCUCCUCUUGGUCCCAUCUCAUUUCCUCUCUUCCGUAGUCAGCCCCAGCUAAAUGCUUCUUGAGGGGAGGGAAAGGCGCGGGUAACCUCUUGCUAUCAGAAGAGGAGAGGGAAUGGGGAAGUUAAGAGAAGGUUAAAAGAGACUAAAAACUGCAGACAGCAGUCAUGUUACCUCAGUUUCCCCCAAAUCCCACCCAAACUGAAAGAAACAGAAUCCACUCACAGAAAAGGUACAAAGAUGGGUUUGACGUCAGGCAGUAAACCAAAAAGUUCCAGUUCCUGCCCUUACAAUUAUCCCUUCUCUGCAUGCUGGCUCCCUUUACAACACAACUUAUCAGAGUUUAUUUCCAUAUUGGCAUCUGUGUCUUCAAGGCAUCCAAGAAUCUUGUGUAUCUUUCAACAGAUCAAAAGGCAUGACGAAAAAUGUUCUUGGAUCAACUCCUAGAAAAAUCUUAAACCAGAUUUUCCUGGGCUAUUUCAGGCCAGUUGGUGCCUGCUAUUUUACAUUGUGGCAUCUUUCUUUUUAAAUAUGGAUUAAAUACCCCAGUGAAUGAAAAGAUUAAAAGUUUACUAUUCCAGCAGCACUGGUGUAUAAACUGAUGUGUUACCUACUUAAAGACUUCUGUGGACUUUCAUCACCCACUCUUACUCUUUGGGGCACCACGUUUUUUAUGGGAAAAGCAAAGCCUGGGCUUUCCAAGCAGAGGGCAACGACACUUGUCAGUGUUAUGAGAGGCGGCACAGAAUCCAAAUAGGAGUGGAACCAAGAUGGACAUUCAGAUUUGAUUGUUUUUAGUUAAUUGGAGUUUGAGUUUAUAAACAAUAUGAAAUAAAAGACCUAUGUAA